rnacentral:rRNA from 1 species
GACGAACGCUGGCGGCGUGCCUAAUACAUGCAAGUUGAGCGCUGAAGGUUGGUACUUGUACCAACUGGAUGAGCAGCGAACGGGUGAGUAACGCGUGGGGAAUCUGCCUUUGAGCGGGGGACAACAUUUGGAAACGAAUGCUAAUACCGCAUAAAAACUUUAAACACAAGUUUUAAGUUUGAAAGAUGCAAUUGCAUCACUCAAAGAUGAUCCCGCGUUGUAUUAGCUAGUUGGUGAGGUAAAGGCUCACCAAGGCGAUGAUACAUAGCCGACCUGAGAGGGUGGUCGGCCACAUCGGGACUGGGACACGGCCCAAACUCCUACGGGAGGCAGCAGUAGGGGAUCUUCGGCAAUGGACGAAAGUCUGACCGAGCAACGCCGCGUGAGUGAAGAAGGGUGUCGGAUCGUAAAACUCUGUUGGUAGGGAAGAACGUUGGUGAGAGUGGAAAGCUCAUCAAGUGACGGUAACUACCCAGAAAGGGACGGCUAACUACGUG